GACGUAGGAGGCGAGCGUUAUCCGGAUUCACUGGGCGUAAAGCGCUCGCAGGUGGUUCAUUGCGUCGUGCGUGAAAGACCCCGGCUCAACUGGGGAGGGUCGUGCGAAACGGGUGAACUAGAGGCCAGUAGGGGGAUGCGGAAUUCCGGGUGUAGUGGUGGAAUGCGUAGAGAUCCGGAGGAACACCAGCGGCGAAGGCGGCAUCCUGGACUGGUCCUGACACUCAGGAGCGAAAGCGUGGGGAGCGAUCCGG
rnacentral:rRNA from 1 species